UUCUGGGAGGAUUCACAAAUUGAGAGCUCUUUCUUGAUUCGGUGGAUGGUGGUGCAUGACCGUUCUUACUUGGUGGCGCGAUUUGUCUGGUUAAUUCCAAAAACGAACAAGACUCUCGCCUAUUAAAUAAGUGCGUGGUUCUCUGUACCUUGCACCCUUCUUAGAGGGACAAGCGGCUCCUAGCCGCAUGAAACAGAGAAAUAACAGGUCUGUGAUGCCCUUAGAU
rnacentral:rRNA from 1 species